AGCGAACGCUGGCGGCAGGCUUAACACAUGCAAGUCGAACGGGCAUAGCAAUAUGUCAGUGGCAGACGGGUGAGUACGCGUGGGAACGUACCUUUUGGUUCGGAACAACACAGGGAAACUUGUGCUAAUACCGGAUAAGCCCUUACGGGGAAAGAUUUAUCGCCGAAAGAUCGGCCCGCGUCUGAUUAGCUAGUUGGUAGGGUAAUGGCCUACCAAGGCGACGAUCAGUAGCUGGUCUGAGAGGAUGAUCAGCCACAUUGGGACUGAGACACGGCCCAAACUCCUACGGGAGGCAGCAGUGGGGAAUAUUGGACAAUGGGCGAAAGCCUGAUCCAGCCAUGCCGCGUGAGUGAUGAAGGCCCUAGGGUUGUAAAGCUCUUUUGUGCGGGAAGAUAAUGACGGUACCGAAAGAAUAAGCCCCGGCUAACUUCGUG
rnacentral:rRNA from 1 species